rnacentral:lncRNA from 1 species
CAGCACGUUUAAUCCUGUUCAAAACCAAAUUAAACCCUGAAAGCAUAUGUUACUGUAAAGUAUGAGUCACAGACUGUCAUGAUAUUUUGCAGAAGAUUAUUCAGCAGCUGUCUUCAAAACGAAAAAAGCGAAGAGCUACAUUUGCCCUGUGCCUGUUACCCGCCGGAGGCUUGUCGGGCCACGUCGGGGAGCGUGGAGGGAGAGGCAUGAGCCGCGCGCUCGGGGGACCCCAGGAGAGAUUCAGACUCCAGUGGCUUGUAAAAGAGUGCUCUGUGCUUACCGGCACACUACCCCAGGUCUUCUGUUGUGAGUGAAGCUUCUUCUGAAGAAGAAAGCCAUGGAGAAGUCAAUUCCUCCCAAACACUACCCAGGGAAUGGGACAUUGGAAAAGAGGGACAAAAAAGUUCUAGAAGCUGAGAGAUGUCGUGACUAUAAGAAGAAGCAACGUGUUUUGCCUCUUUAUUGCAAAGUAAUAGAAAUAAUAAUGGGCUAAUGAUGAUGAUGGCUGAAGUUUCCUGACAACCUCAGUGUGUGCUAGGUCCUGUGCUGAGCACUUUAUACAUACUUCUGUCCAGUGGAGCAUAAAAGAAACCUGUUGCGCUUCUCAGAAGAGGUCUACUCAUCAUUGUCGACAGAGAGGCAUGUGAGAAGUCCCAAUUCAGAGCAGUGACAGCCA